GAUGAACGCUGGCGGCGUGCCUAACACAUGCAAGUCGAACGAAGCGAUUGGAAGUUUUCGGACAGAAGAUUGACUGAGUGGCGGACGGGUGAGUAACGCGUGGGUAACCUGCCUUAUACAGGGGGAUAACAGUUAGAAAUGACUGCUAAUACCGCAUAAGCGCACGGGAUCGCAUGAUCCUGUGUGAAAAGCCGAGACGGUAUAAGAUGGACCCGCGUCUGAUUAGCUAGUUGGUGAGGUAACGGCCCACCAAGGCGACGAUCAGUAGCCGACCUGAGAGGGUGACCGGCCACAUUGGGACUGAGACACGGCCCAA
rnacentral:rRNA from 1 species